rnacentral:rRNA from 1 species
GAUCUGGCUCAGGAUGAACGCUAGCUACAGGCUUAACACAUGCAAGUCGAGGGGCAGCGGGAUUGAAGCUUGCUUCAAUUGCCGGCGACCGGCGCACGGGUGAGUAACGCGUAUCCAACCUUCCGCUUACUCGGGGAUAGCCUUUCGAAAGAAAGAUUAAUACCCGAUGGUAUCUUAAGCACGCAUGAGAUUAAGAUUAAAGAUUUAUCGGUAAGCGAUGGGGAUGCGUUCCAUUAGGUAGUUGGCGGGG